CACUGGGAUAUCUCACUUGGUAGAGCAUGAAACUCUUAAUCUCGGAGUUUUGGGUUCGAGUCCCACAUUGGGUGA